rnacentral:rRNA from 1 species
UACGGAGGGGGCUAGCGUUGUUCGGAAUUACUGGGCGUAAAGCGCACGUAGGCGGCGAUUUAAGUCAGAGGUGAAAGCCCGGGGCUCAACCCCGGAAUUGCCUUUGAGACUGGAUUGCUAGAAUCUUGGAGAGGCGGGUGGAAUUCCGAGUGUAGAGGUGAAAUUCGUAGAUAUUCGGAAGAACACCAGUGGCGAAGGCGGCUCACUGGCCCGGUACUGACGCUGAGGCACGAAAGCGUGGGGAGCAAACAGG